CAGCAGCCGCGGUAAUACGAAGGGUGCAAGCGUUACUCGGAAUUACUGGGCGUAAAGCGUGCGUAGGUGGUUGUUUAAGUCUGCUGUGAAAGCCCUGGGCUCAACCUGGGAAUUGCAGUGGAUACUGGGCAACUAGAGUAAGGUAGAGGAUAGUGGAAUUUCCGGUGUAGCAGUGAAAUGCGUAGAGAUCGGAAGGAACAUCUGUGGCGAAGGCGACUAUCUGGGCCAUUACUGACACUGAGGCACGAAAGCGUGGGGAGCAAACAGGAUUAGAUACCCCGGUAGUCCCUGUCUCUUAUAC
rnacentral:rRNA from 1 species